AACCGGAAGCCGCUUCGCAGAUGAAUCUGUUCCCCAGACCCAGACCCCGGCCCCGCCCCGGUUGCCUAGGCGACGAAAGGCCGCAACUCCGCGGCUAGUUAAUGACGAUGUCUGUGGGGACUACUCCCGGGGGAACGACCCCCGCGGCGACGACCCCGGCGGGAACCACACCGGAGUUAGAGGAUGGCCUGGACUGUAGUGAGAGAGAUGCUGAAUUCCAGGAGCAUGAAAAGAUUCUGUAUCCAGAUUUUCUUUCAGCUGCUCAAAUCACUGAAAUGCUAACAGAAGACAUAAAUGGAGUUCAACAAAAACUGAAAAAGUUUUUGAAUUUCAAAAACCUUCAAACCUGUUUAAAGGAAGCCAUUCUACUAGAUUAUUAUGUAUCUGGAUUUUUGUGGGCUAGAGGAAUGGACUUUUCUGUUACUCAAUAUUCAAAAUUUAUGACUUUACUAGAUAUGUUACUUCAUAAUCUUAGAACACUGCAUAUGUCCUUAGAAGACAGCAUAAAAUGGCUUGGAGAAGUUAUGGCUGAAAUAGGACCACCCCAUUCACAGAAAAAUGAAGAAUGGAGUUUUUUUAAUAUAAAACAAGCCAAUGCUAUCAUCGAUUACUUAAAAAUCAGCUUAUUUCAACACUACAAGCUAUAUGAGUUUCUAUUCUACUCUACCAGGGAAGAAAUUGUGAUAGGAACUGAGCAAAUGAUAGAGGUUGUCAAGCCUUCAGGUGGUCUCCUCCCAGAUCCUCUAGAAGAAGGAAUCUCAUUUGACAUUUAUUCAACAUUCAUAGAACCACCCCCAACAUUGGAUGCAGAAGUGAAGGGGUUGGAUCAAGAACAAGUCCCUGAGGAAUUCCAGUCAGAAGCCAACAUUUCCGAUGCAGAUCCUUUAGUGGGUUUCACCAUUGAAGAUAUAAAAUCAGUGCUGGGUCAAGUCACAGAUGAUAUUUUAAUCGGCAUUCAGGUAAAAACUAAUACCCAAGGUAGCCAAGUGACUUGUCCAAGAUUAUGUAACUAAAUUAAUCCCUUGGUCUCCAGCUCCUAGACCAGUGCUCUUUCCAGAUCUACCAAAAUCAUGCCCAAGGGGAUCAGUGACUCCUAAACAAUGACAGAGUUCCUUUGUAACCCUGAGGACCAAGUUCAUUCUUCCUUGCCUCCUCCACCUAAACACCAGGAAACAAAAAAGGAAUACAAUGGGAAACCAGAGGCCAGAGUUUGAUAAAACUUGUAGGGCUUGAUAAAACUUGAACCAAAGAAGGAUACUUUCAUGAGGAUCCAGAAUUGUUGACACCAAUGCCAUCUUCUCAGAAAUACUGAUUCUUACCAGUGAAGGUGAAACAAAAUCUCAUCAGACCGAGAUAAACGAAAAGCUGCAAAUACAGGAAGAGGCCUUCAAUGCACGAAUAGAAAAACUGAAAAAGGCCUGAGGACUUAGUGCAAGGAGAGUGAUGCUAAACUUGAGAGAAACAAAUAAAACCAGCCAGAAUAAUAGACUCUCCAGAGCAGCAGAUAUCCUUCCUUUCGUUGGGAGAGGGAAACCAAGCCCCACUUUUUAUUAUCCUAAGUAAUUAGAAAAGUAUUGGCCCCCAUUUUGCUAUCUCCUGUCCCAUAACAGCCUCUGAAUUUAUUGCACUAAGUGUAAUAAGAACAUUCUGUAUACAAGAGUUUGGAGAAUUAUAUAUAAAAAUACAAUUACUUUUACGAUACUCCUUUGACAUUUUGACUAAUAAAUGCUAUUCAUCUUCA